rnacentral:misc_RNA from 1 species
UUUUGCCCUUAGUUGCCUCACCUGGUAGUCCACUAUGGCUACUGGCUGCUCCUCAAACGUCAAGUCUUCUUUCAACUCUACUGUAUCCUGAUGUAGCACAUGAGAAGGAUCAGGUAUGUAUUUUCUAAGCAUGGGAUGUGAAAUACAGGAUGAACAUGAGAAAAGUUGGUUGGUAACUCCAACUGAUAGGCAACUGCUCCAACUCUAUCA